rnacentral:rRNA from 3 species
UUUAUGGAGAGUUUGAUCCUGGCUCAGGAUGAACGCUGGCGGCGUGCCUAAUACAUGCAAGUCGAGCGAACAGAUAAGGAGCUUGCUCCUUUGACGUUAGCGGCGGACGGGUGAGUAACACGUGG